CCCUCAGCCGCGUCCUUCUCUCUCUCUCCCCGACCUCACUCUCUCGUCCUCUCCCUCUGCCAUCGCCGGAACCACAUCGUCCGGCCACCGCCUCACAUCACCGCUACCACCAAUCGAAGCACCACCUCAAUCCGACCUAAACCCAUAAGAGAUCGACUCCAUGCAUCGAACCCAACCUCUCUAUUCCGCUCUCCUUCUCUCUGCCAUAGCCGGGAAACCUAACAUCCGGUCACCACCUCAUGUCACCGCCACCAUCCUUCGAACUAGCAUCCAAAUCUAACCAAAGCCCAACUGAAAUCACCAUCAAGCAUCGUCGUUAAUCUCCACAGAUGACCACCAUGGUCCUGCCGGGUUGGCCGGCCAGAGCUUCCAUCUCCGACCAUCAUUUCAACACACCGCCGACACCAACCUACCCAGACCAAACCGAGCAUUGAAACCCCAAAGUUUCGCUGACGGUCGACGCCGGACGACUACCGCACGCACUGUCACCGGAGUAUUGCCUCUGCAUGAUUUCGUUUUCCGGUCUCCAGUCCAAACUGAGCAAAACCACCAUCAAGAAUCGAAUCAGCGCCUUGUCAAAUGCCAAAACCCUAGGGCCCCGACCUCUAACUCCGACCAGAGCCACCUCGUCCGCUGCACGCGCGUGAGAAAUUUCUGGCUCCGCCGCUCACGGCUAUUGGAGGUUAAGACCGCCUCUAUUAGGUAAUCUUCACG
rnacentral:lncRNA from 1 species